UAGUGCGCCUGCGCAGUGCGUCUCCACAGUUUUUUUGGGCGGUGACUCGGAAGCCAAGAGGAAAGAAAGUGACUGGGAGGCGGAAGAAAGGAAGGCGCUUCCUGAAGAAAGCUGCAGAAAAAAAGAAAUUUGUAAGAUCAUGCCUUCACCUGAAGAGAAACUAUUCUCAGGCUGAUUCAAGAAGUCACUGGACAAGGAUUACACUCCUUUCAUAUGGAAGCCAGAUGUCAUUACGCAAGUAAAGCAAUACCCAUAGACCUGAUUUUGAAGAGAACUACUUCCUCACACAUCCUCCAAGAUGCUCCGUUUGUUCAAUGUUCACCAGGAUAACUAAGCUCUUCUGGUGUUUGACACCAUCCAGCCCCAGCAUUCUGUCAGGAGGCCGAUCAGAUGACUGGGAAACAUGGAACAGUAUUUGCCAUGUGCACUCAUGCCAAGCCCAGCAAUACAUCUGGCUCUGCCUCAAAUAUAUCCAUGUGUUACUGCAGACACAU